CAGGGAGUGAGGCGGCGGGCAGGGGACGGCGGCGUUGCCGACUGCGGGUUUAGGUGCCAGAAGAUCUUGAUGAAGCUUUCCUGGAUCAGAAAUGAAACUUUAAGGUCACAUUAUCACAGGUCACAUCCUCAGGGUCACCUCUUCCAGGAGGUUGCUCCAGCACCUGUGACAGCAGCAAACAGGGAUCUGUCCUCCUUGGAAUUGUGCCUACAGACUGCAAGAGCCUGGAUCUGAGUUUAGCACCUGGAUUAAUCCUGAAGGAAAUCCAGGAGGUCUUGAAAUAAAUAGCUCCUGUAUGAAGACUUUCCCAAAAUCUGAGAUGCAUUUAAUGGUAAGAGGACCAACAUCUGCUGGGAGAGACUCAUCCAAAGAACAAGGAAACUCUUGAAUCCAGAUGAUCUGAAGCCUGGGCUGAGCUUAAAUGGAGCUCCUGGCCAGUGAGGAUGUUUGGGGUAACUGAGGCCUCUCUGCUGACAAGGUGCUGACACUGACCUAACUGCAGGAUGGAGGAUAAAAAAUGAUAAAAAACCAAUCAAACAAACAAACAAAAAAAAAAACCUGACAGAAGAAAUAGCACCAUACAGAGCUUCAAACAUGAGGCAGAAGGGAAAAGUGGUGAGCAAUUCAGCAGGAAAACUGGUUUAAUCUCCACCUAAAGGCUUGUUCAGGAGACCUGAGGGUUAGGAAGGAGCAGUGGCCCUUGCAAAGGCCAAAGAGUGACAGCCCAGAGCAGAGGGAUCUGCACUGCUCAUGGCACGGAUCCCACCAGAGUGAGGGAGCAGAUCCUCAGCCAAAGGGAGAGCACACCAGGCUCAGACCCUAAAUCCCCUUGGCUGGGAAAGCUGCCUGCUACCACCAAAGUCCAAGGAAAGGUCAGUGCCUGAGGUCACUGGCAAUUUUGGAAUGACAGAAAACCCCACUUAACUCUUUGCAGGCUGUUGCCACCAACAUUUCUCCUAAGAAAAUCCUCUUUUUGCUGAUGCCACCUCUGCAGUUUGGGAUAAAACUUCCCAUCAGCCCAGAGGAGCACAGGUUCACACUGAGCAAAGGACACCUCUACUCAAAUUCUUCUCCAAUUGUUCUUCCAGCUCCAAAACAAGGAAAAUUUUUGUUAAUGUUGGCUGGAAUUAAAGGCUUUUGCUGCUUUUUUUUGCAUUUGGGAUAUCUCAGGAGGGCUCCACACCUCACAGAUGGAGUCCCUAACAGGAUGCAGCAAAGGUAAACAGGCAGAAAAUGAGGAAUAGCUUAUUUAGGUGAAACUGAAGAAGAGCUGUACAUCAGGAGGGAAGAUCACUCAAGCUGGAAUACAGCCAGGACACCAAAGGCAGACCUUUAAAACGUGAGGGGGAAAACCCCCAAACCUUUAAGAUCUUCACUGAAUGCAGUUGGGAGUCAUGGACACGCUCAGUUUCUCCUUUCUACCUAUCCUGUGGCAACUUCAUAGCCAAGGAAAAGAAAGUGGGGACUUCUGAAUUGCUGUGGAACAUGAUCCAAACUGCCCAGACUCCUGAAGGUCCCGUUUGUGCAUCCCCCAUGAGAGGUGACAGCACUGAGCUGUGAGGCAGGCUGGGGUUAAACACAAACUGAGUCUUCUUCAUUAAUCCCUUCCAAAUUCUCCUUAUGGAUAUACCCUGCAGGAACACACAAUUUCUCCCUGGUAGUGUCUACUUAUAAAAGCCUGAUAUAUUUAAUUCUGGAAAAAAAGCUGUCUUUGGGUUAAAUAAAAUAAAAACAGCCUACCUCAAAAUCCGAGUUCCAUGGUAUAUAGAAAACUGUGGGAACCCUGUUAAAAAGUAUCACUGUAUUAAGUUGUGCAGUUGGGUUUCCUUCUAAUUUCUGUGUUCUUUUGUCACAAUUUAAGGUGAGGACAAGAAUGUUUCUCAAACCAGCAUUGUGCUGACAUUCGACAAUACGGGAUACACAUCCUCGGAAUUUUUAUAAAGUGCAAUUCUUAAAUAUUAUUUUUCCAAAAUGCUGCCCAGAGGAGCCAUUCUGGCUGAUCAAACAGCCCCUGGAACUGCAGUAAAUGCUCACACAGCAUUCCUGCAAACAGGGCCUCGUAUGAAAACCAAACACCGCAGGGGCACUGUGAAACACCAGUUAGCACCUUUAUAAAAGCCUGCUCCCGAGGUUAACUGCACUGCAGCCCUGGCAGAUCACAGAACUGAGAGCCUUGUACGAGCACAGGGUGGGAUUGUGUUAAUUUGUCUCAGAGGGUGCAAUUGCAAUGGUCCUUUCUUGUCUUCGGAGGAAUCCUGCUCCGAGACGAUGCACGCCAGGAGGGUUUUUAUGGGAACCUGCUCCUGCAGGGGGGUGCUCCUGCUUUCACACAGCUGCUCUUGUGCCCUUCAAUCUGCACAAGACUGUCUGAACAGGAAAUACAAAAGCUCUACACUGAAAUUUGCUCUGUGAUCAAGUUAUCCAAGUGAUGUUUCGUCCUUACACCGCGUU